rnacentral:rRNA from 1 species
AUUGAACGCUGGCGGCAGGCCUAACACAUGCAAGUCGAACGAGUGGCGGACGGGUGAGUAAUGUCUGGGAAACUGCCUGAUGGAGGGGGAUAACUACUGGAAACGGUAGCUAAUACCGCAUACCAUCGGAUGUGCCCAGAUGGGAUUAGCUAGUAGGUGGGGUAAAGGCUCACCUAGGCGACGAUCCCUAGCGGGUCGGAGAGGAUGACCAGCAACACGGGAACGAGGACACGGUCCAAACUCCUACGGGAGUCGGCAGUGGGGAAGAUUGCACAAUGGGCGCAAGCCUAAUGCGGCCAUGCCGCGUAUAGGAAGAGGGCCUUCGGGUUGUAAAGUACUUUCAGCGGGGAGGCGUUACCCGCAGAGGAAGCACCGGCUAACUCCGUGCCAGCAGCCGCGGUAAUUC